rnacentral:rRNA from 1 species
GGCUGACUCCGGGCCAGGAGCCGGGGGAAUGCGGGGGGGGCGGGGGUGAAUGGGAAGUACGGGGCGUAAGGCGUGCGGAGGCGGUGCGGGCAGGCAGCCGUGAAAGCCCCGGGCUCAACCUGGGAACGGCGGUUGAGACGGCCGGACUAGAGUGGGCUAGAGGAUCGUGGAAUUCCGGGUGUAGCGGUGAAAUGCGUAGAGAUCCGGAGGAACACCGAUGGCGAAGGCAGCGGUCUGGGGCCACACUGACGCUGAGGCACGAAAGCGUGGGGAGCAAACAGGAUUAGAUACCCCAGUAUC